rnacentral:lncRNA from 1 species
CCAAGGGUUAUGUUGCCUACUGGUCAAGUCGUGUUUACUAACUCAAAUUUGGCCAAAAAGAUUGAUUAUACUCAAAUAAUAAGCCAACAAAAAUCAUUAUCUUAAUCCGUGCCUUUUGUCUGGCGAGAAUCAAUUCGUUAACUUGUCAUAAUAUUCGAGCAACCUUAUAUAUACAAUUAUACAUACAUGUAUACCAUAUAUAUUCUUACAACUUUACGUGAUUUAUGAACUCUGAAAUGUGCAACGGCAUACAUACAUAAAAGUUUAUUAUUAUAGUAUGCAAAAUAUUAGACCAAGGGAUUCGGUUGAAAGGAGAUGUGGAUAAGAUAUUAAUUAGUUUUGGCAUAUAUUCUACCAGACAAAUUUACAUAAUUUCUCUCAUUUUCUUUUUUUUUUUUGACAAAGGGCUUAAUUUCUCUCAUUUUCCCCAACCGCUAUUUUUGUAAUCCGAGCAUCAUCUACACCAAUUCUUUAACGAAUCAUAGAUAAGAAUAUAUGAAUGAAUCUGGUUAGUUUUACAUGAUAUCCAAUUAUAUAAUGCAUUUCGAGCAAUUCAUGAUUAAAAAAAAAGGAUUUCUAGUUGCAGCCACUGAGAGAAUUAAAAAAAAAAAUGUCGAGCACAAUAGCGAACUAGCGGAGUCAUUAGUAAUAUAUUGACUAGAUCUGAAAUUCUAAAUGACAAAAAUACUUUAUUUUUCAUUAACCUUACAUAAUGUUAAGAAUAACGUUGGAGUCCGCAUGAUAUAUAAUUUGUAAAAAGGAAAGAAACCUUGAAAUCCUUCAUCCUACAAUACAUUCCACUAACUACAGUCAAGAUUAUUAGAAGAAAAAAAUUCUUACGUUUCAUACACACAAUCACCAUAGCUUGGAUCGGUAGACGGUAAUAAUGUACAUACUCGUAAGUCGUAUCAUUGAAAUAACAUGCUUCGUCGGUAUGUCCGUUACUUGGGAAAUACUCAUUCAUUACAAACGAUGCAUGAUUUCUAUGAAUAUAUUGGUUCAAAGCAGGGUCCACCAGGUUUGAUUGGGUUACAGUCUAACAUUUCUUUGGCUACACAGUCAAUCAAUAUUAGCUUGCAUUUGUUCAUCUGUCUCCGAUAAAGCUGUCACACACCACUGAUGCUCUGAGAGGUUUCUUAUUCUGGAACUUGCAAGAGGAAGAUACUCGGUUGCAACGAUCGAUAGAAUCAGGAAGAGGAGUGUUGAUGGCGGACACAUAAUUUCAGUGAUAUUCUUUGUUAGAAAAUUG